CCUACGGUGGGCAGCAGUGGGGAAUAUUGCACAAUGGGGGGAACCCUGAUGCAGCGACGCCGCGUGAGUGAAGAAGUAUUUCGGUAUGUAAAGCUCUAUCAGCAGGGAAGAAAAUGACGGUACCUGACUAAGAAGCCCCGGCUAACUACGUGCCAGCAGCCGCGGUAAUACGUAGGGGGCAAGCGUUAUCCGGAUUUACUGGGUGUAAAGGGAGCGUAGACGGUUAUGCAAGUCUGAAGUGAAAUCCCAUGGCUUAACCAUGGGACUGCUUUGGAAACUGUAAAACUGGAGUGCAGGAGAGGUAAGCGGAAUUCCUAGUGUAGCGGUGAAAUGCGUAGAUAUUAGGAGGAACACCAGUGGCGAAGGCGGCUUACUGGACUGUAACUGACGUUGAGGCUCGAAGGCGUGGGGAGCAAACAGGAUUAGAUACCCGAGUAGUC
rnacentral:rRNA from 1 species